rnacentral:rRNA from 1 species
AUAAAGUGGCGAACGGCUGAGUAACACGUGGGCAACCUGCCCUUUGCACUGGGAUAGCCUCGGGAAACCGAGGUUAAUACCGGAUACUCCAUAUUUGUCGCAUGGCGAAUAUGGGAAAGCUCCGGCGGCAAAGGAUGGGCCCGCGGCCUGUUAGCUAGUUGGUGGGGUAGUGGCCUACCAAGGCAAUGAUGGGUAGCCGGGUUGAGAGACCGACCGGCCAGAUUGGGACUGAGACACGGCCCAGACUCCUACGGAGGCAGCAGUUA